GCGUCUCAAUGCUAAUUAAUUCACUAAUUAACACUAAUUAGCCAUCUCCACAGUAAUGAUCUCUGUCUCGCAGGUGGACGUGUCGCUGGACGGGGGCCGGACGUGGCGCGAGGCCGAGCUGGGCCCGCGGCCGGAGCGGGGCCGGGGCUGGGCCUGGGCGCUGUGGGAGCUGCGGGCGCCGGUGCCCGCGGGGGCGCGGCUGGAGAUCGUCUGCAAGGCCGUGGACCGGAGCUACAACGUCCAGCCCGACACCGUGGCGCCCAUCUGGAACCUGAGAGGGGUCCUGAGCAACGCCUGGCACCGCGUGCCCGUCACCGUCACCAAGUGAGGGACAGCAGGACAUUGGGGACAUUGGGGUCAGCAGGGACAUCAGGGACAUCUGGAAUUUGUGUGGGGUCCUCAGCAGCGCCUGGCACCGGGUCAGUGUCACCGUCACCAAGUGAAGGACAUUGGGGUACUGGGGACAUUGGGGUUUUGGGGACAUCGGGGACACAGCAGGGACAUCGGGGACAUUGGGGACAUCAGAGGUACGACGUCCAACCGGACACCGUGGGGCCCAUCUGGAACCUGAGCAAGGCCUGGCACGGGGUCAGCGUCACCGUCACCCAGUGAGGGACAUCGGGGACAUCGGGGACAUCUGGAACCUGCCCAGGGUCCCGAGCAAGGCCUGGCACCGGGUCAGUGUCACCGUCACCCAG
rnacentral:lncRNA from 1 species